rnacentral:lncRNA from 10 species
CCCAGGGACGCGCCCACGCGCACGCGCCCAGCGGCUCAGGGCUCCCUGGCUCUCACCGGCUCUGCUGCCCGGAGGCAGCCGCUUACCCUGGAGCCCUGAGAGGCCCCUUUGAGUCUCCAGACCUUCCAGGGAUAAAUAAAAUCUGGCGACCUGUGCCAACGCUGUGGGCCAGUUGCAAAGGAGACCGUCCUUGCUGGCCACGCGCACCUGUGAAAAAGUCGCGGGACCCCCCAAUCCCCUCCACCUGGACCGAACCCUGCCUCGGUGGUUCUCGCACUUUAGCUACACCAGAGUCCUCCAACGUUUGUGAAAACACCAUGACUGCCCCUCUUCGUGCCCCCUCCAGUGUCUGAUUCUGUAAGACUUCUGUGGGGCCCGAGAAUUUGCACUUCGAACAGAUUCCCAGGUGAUGCUGAGGCAGCCGCGAAGAUUGAGAGUUAGGGCUUGUAAAAGUGCUUGGUAAACGGCAGAACAGUAGAUAAGUAGAUAAAUUUCAACCUGUUAAGUAUGUUACUUGUCUGUUUCAGUAGGUAGAGGUAGUUGUGCUCCUCUGAGUGUUAGACUACUUUAUGUUUCCUCCUGAAUAUGCACCAUCAGACAAAAAAGAAAAGCGAGUGUUUUUGUUUGCUCUAAAAGACCACAGAUUGGGUGGCCUAAGCAACAGAAAUUGAUUUUCUCACAGUCUUGGAGUCUGGAAGACUGUUCUGGAGAUCAAGAUGUGGUCAGGGUUGGUUUCUUCUGAGGCCAGUCUCCUAGGCUUGUAAAUGGCUUUUUGUGGCGUCUUCACAAGGCCUUCCCUCUGUGUCUGUGUCUUAAUCUUUUCUCCUAAAGACACUAUAUGACUUCAUUUUAACUUAAUCACCCCUUUAAAGACCCUGUCUCCAAUUGCAUGCCUUUUUUUUUUCUGAGACAGAGUCUUGCUCUGUCACCAAGAUGUGUGUCACCUACAUCACAUUUUUAAGUAGUGAGGGUUAGGACCUCAACAUAUGAAUUGGGAUUGGGGGAGCGGGGAGGGUGCACAAUUCAGUCCAUAACUGUGAGCUCCAUUGCUCCUAAGAUGCUAGAAUAAAAAUUGGACUUCAGGGCCGGGCGCGGUGGCUCACGUCUGUAAUCCCAGCACUUUGGGAGGCUGAGGCGGGUGGAUCACGAGGUCAGGAGAUCGAGACCAUCCUGGCUAACAUGGUGAAACCCUGUCUCUACUAAAAAUACAAAAAAUUAGCCGGUCGAGGUGGCGGGCGCCUGAAGUCCCAGCUACUCGGGAGGCUGAGGCAAGAGAAUGGCGUGAACCCGGAAGGUGGAGCUUGCAGUGAGCAGAGAUCGCGCCACUGCACUCGAGCCUGGGCGACAGAGUGAGACUCCUUCUCAAAAAAAAAAAAAAAAAGAAAAGAAAAGAAAAGUUGGACUUCAGCCUCCCCUAUCCCCUACUCCAUCUCAUGCCCUCCACGACAAGCUGACCUGUGGACUCACACAUUGUCAAGUGCUGUGAAGGGAAGCUGGGAGGAUUGAAAAUGCAGUAAGGAAACAGCCCUCUCAACUCGAUUUGUGGUCACAGCAGUAGCAGCGACACUCCAGUGUGGAAAAGAAUAUAGGGGAUCUAUCAGGAAUUUGAGACCCUUUACCAGCAAACAUUUCAGAACCGGCCUCUUAGCCUUUGUUAGCGAUUCAAUCCAGAGUCACCCUUGCCCAGUCUGCCCUCUGCCUACUCCCCAUGUCAUUGUCAUCCCCCAUGGGCUCCAUAAUUAGAGACUGUGGUGAAUAAAUAUGCCUAAGACGCCUCAUUCCGCCUGCCAUCUAUGGGAGCUCUGACACAUUUACAGCUGGGGUAGACAGGAAGGAUGUGAGGAUGAGGACUUCGAUGCUGACCCCACACUACCUAGAGACAUCUGAAAAAAGUCAUCUUCCACAAAUUGGUCAUUGCCCCAAAUUAAGCGCACUUACUGAUCCUACUUUGUAACUUUUCUUUGUGGCUUCAUCCAACCCUUGAUUUAUUCUUUUUUUUUUUUUUUUUUUUUUCGAGACAGGAUUUCACCAUGUUAGCCAGGCUGGUCUCGAACUCCUGGCCUCAAGUAAUCCGCCCGCCUUGGCCUCCCCAAGUGCUGGGAUUAUAGGCAUGAGCCACUGUGCCCAGCUGAACCCUUGACUUCUUAACACCAAGCCAGGCCCUCCCCAAGCUCCAGAUCCAGUGGCUGCUGGAUCACCACAGACACUCCAAGCACAGUAAUGUGUGGCCAUAAUUGAACUCUUCCCCACACUUUGUUUUCCCUGUAUUACCCAUCUGAGUGGAUGGCACCAGCUCCACCAUAGUCGUGCCUGCUAGAAACCCGGGCAUCAUCUGAGAGAAGACCCUCUGCCACACCCUUUACACCUCACCAGCUUCAAUUGGUUUCAUACAGCGUCCCUGAUGCCUCCCAGAGGCCUCCUUCUUUCCCACUCCCACCACUAUUGCCUCAGUCCAGGCCCUUCUACUAUUUCCCCUCUGGCUUUUGACGCCAGCCUCCUGAUCCCUGCUCCAGCCUGGCUUCUGAGCCAGCAUCCCCCACACCAUAUCUUCAGUGAUCUUUCAAAAACAGAAACCUGAUGACCCUGCAGGCCUUCUUAAACUCUCUCAAUGGAUUCCCUGGAUGUUCCAGGAGAAAUACGCAAGCUCCGUGGCCCAUCUCUGGCUAUGGCCUCAUCUGCACCCUUCACUCCAACCAUAGGGACCACUUGUGCCCAAUGCCCUGCAUAUUCAAGAGGUUCCAUGCUCUCUGAACACACUUGCUUGGUCUAGAGAGAAGGUGUCACCUCCUUUCCAGCCUCCUCCAGGAGUCACCAACUUCAAGAAGCCUGCCUGCUUCUUUCUGAACUAAGGACCCCCUUCUGCUCCCACAGCACCCAAUUAAGUUGCAGUCAUAGCCAUCAAAUGUUGGACUGUAAUCACCAGGUCACUUCUCUGUGUCCUUCAUUAACCUGUGAGUUGGGGGAGGGCAAAGGUCUUACCCAUUUUUGCAAGUUUGAAGUCUAGAUUAAACUUGAUGCUCCAAAAAAAUUAUGUGUGUGUGUGUGUUUGCUUUAAUGAAUGAAUGAAUUCUUAGAAAGUCAGAGGAUUUGUUCAAACAUAGCUUUUGUUGCAAAUACCUUAUUUGGGGCAAUCCUCACUUCCUUGAUAAUACUUGUG